rnacentral:rRNA from 1 species
UACGGGGGAUGCAAGCGUUAUCCGGAAUCAUUGGGCGUAAAGCGUCUGUAGGUGGUUUAGAAAGUCUGCUGUUAAAUAUUGGAGCUUAACUCCAAAUCAGCAGUGGAAACUCUUAAACUAGAGUAUGGUAAGGGUAGAGGGAAUUCCCAGUGUAGCGGUGAAAUGCGUAGAUAUUGGGAAGAACACCAGUAGCGAAAGCGCUCUGCUAGGCCAUAACUGACACUCAGAGACGAAAGCUAGGGGAGCGAAU